GAAAUGUUAAACUUAUUGGCUGCGCCUACUAGCGAGUCAUUGGGUUCCCUGAAUUUUUCUUCGAGGACUAAAACGCGCUUCAAAUACCUAAAAAUAACCCAAAAUCAGUGCUAGGACCCCUUUUUGGCCAAUUCUUAAUUCCGGCGAUGGUACCGCCACUCGCGGCAGUGGUUUUCCUCGGGUCGGCUGUUUUCGACUGAAUUAGGCCAAUUUUGUGUCAAUUCCUGCGAAAAAACACGUUAAGGGCCUUGGUUGGAAAAAAAAUUAAAAAAAUAGAAACUCACCGGUAGCGAGAUAUUCUGUUGCGGCGGCUUCGUAGCUCACCUUUGUGGUUGGGUGCUUUGUUUCGGUCAACUAGUAGAGAAAGAAAUAGUGAUUACAAUGGUGGAAGAAUUGUGGAGAAUAGAAAUCGUGAAGGACCUCAUUGGAGGUUUUUUUACAAUUUUCGGCGGUUACACCGUCGGGCUUUGCCCGUAAUUUCUGUCCAAUCUGUCUGUCCUUUUGCUUCGAUUUGGCCAUGAAGGUGUUUGAAAUCGAAUUACGAGAGAAGAAAAUUUUUUUUUACCACUUUUAACGGUUGGAAGUAGUUCCAGCACGGCAGCAGCGACGGUCGGCUUUCCUUCCAGCGGGGGUCUGGCGGCUAGGGUUAGGGUUUGGUGUAAAGAGAGUUAUU
rnacentral:lncRNA from 1 species